AACGUAGGAGACAAACGUUAUCCGGAGUUACUGGGCGUAAAGGGCGUGUAGGCGGUUUGUUAAGUCUGGCGUGAAAGCUCUCGGCUAAACCGGGAGAGGUCGUUGGAUACUGGCAAACUAGAGGAUGGUAGAGGCGUGUGGAAUUCCGGGUGUAGCGGUGAAAUGCGCAGAUAUCAGGAGGAACACCGGUGGCGAAGGCGGGUCUCUGGGCCGUAACUGACGCUGAGGAGCGAAAGCAUGGGGAGCGAACAGG
rnacentral:rRNA from 1 species